rnacentral:rRNA from 1 species
GUGUCAGCAGCCGCGGUAAUACGUAGGCAGCGAGCGUUGUUCGGAGUUACUGGGCGUAAAGGGUGCGUAGGCGGUUUUCCAAGUUUGGUGUGAAAUCUCCCGGCUCAACUGGGAGGGUGCGCCGAAAACUAGGGAACUGGAGUACCGGAGAGGUAAGCGGAAUUCCUGGUGUAGCGGUGAAAUGCGUAGAGAUCAGGAGGAACACCUGUGGUGUAGACAGCUUACUGGACGGUCACUGACGCUGAGGCACGAAAGCGUGGGUAGCAAACAGGAUUAGAUACCCUAGUAGUCC